UUGGCGUCCUCAUCAGAAAUGAAGAAGCAACACCUUCCUAAUGAGCAAAGUCCCAGAGAGAGCCGGCCUUCGCAGAUGAAACGCCCAUGCUAAGUGUUCAGGUGAAAUCACAACUUUUACAGAGUGUGUGACCAGCUGGUGUCCUCCUGCUGUGCUGCAACUUCUCCCAAGCCUUCUAGACCUGAAUCAGGCCAGGCCCAGCUGCCUCUCCAUCCGGUAAAGGGGCCAGUAAAUGUUAAUCAGGUAAUCAAUGCUGUAAAGCUGAUGGAUGUGGGAGGAAACAACAGGUUAAACCGAACACAGCAGGAAGUUUUAGUGAGGAAAAAGUAGUUUGAAGCCUUUGGAUUCACCCAGGAUACCAGAAAAGCGCCUCUUCGAUGCUUCAACGCGCCUGGUUUAACCUGCUGAGCAUUUACCAGAAAACGAUAAGAUGCUUUUGUCAAGCUGAGGAGGUUGUUCAGCUACGUGAAGCAUGUUCAUUUGGAAACCACACAUGUAAAAGUAGAUUGGAUCAACCCACACCAGCGGAGCUGACUGCUUCAAAGGCCAUUAUCAGUAGAAAAAGUCCUGCUUUGGUCAAAGCCAAGAGACACGUAACACAGAUGUGUGUUUAAAAGAAGGCGAGGCCCAUUAAGUUUUAAAUACGGUGAAAAACACUUGGUUAUGUUGGCAAUAAACCUCCAUGACUCAAGAAGAAGGAUAUACAGUACUUGAUGUCAGCAUAUGUGGGUAUUUGGUGUCUGAUCUGUACUGUUUAGGUGUUACAUUUCAUUUAAACUCGGUAGUCAGGAUUUCAUACUUCUGUGUCUUAACCCAGAUAAAGUAAUCGUUUAGCUGUGGUCUGUGUUCACUGCCCAGAUGUGCUGCUCUUUCUGCCAUGUGUAGCUCACAGAUGAUCUGAUCUGGUUUUCCAGUUUGCACCUAAAUCACGACUAAGUUGAGCAUGAAACUGUUCCCAGAUCUGGUUUAUAAAUCGAUUACAGGAUGGCUUUGUUGUACAGCUGACCUGUUCAAGGUUCAGCGUUGGCAGAUAUUUGUGGAAUGUGAUUCCAAAUUAUUCAUGAAAAAUCUCCCUUGUUUGGGAAGCUGAAAUGCGAAAGCCAAAUCCUUCUUCAGCUUCUAUUUGCAGCCAAUCCAGGAGCACCUUUCAUUUUCCUCGCUUCUGAUUGGAUUCUGUGGUUCUUGAGCCAAGAUGCUUUCCAUGGUCCAUAAUAAUGCAUAUGAAGGUAUAUUUGGUGUUUGAACCGUUAAAAUAGUAAUAAUCCUUAUGUCACACUCUGAGUUUUACACCUUUUCAUUUAAUCUUCAUUGUAUCUUAUUGUUUUUAGUUCCUUUUUCUAUGUUUUGUGCAUCUUCCUGUUAUGCUUUUGAUUUUAGGUUUAUAUCAUCUCCUUUGGGUAACCUGGAGCACAUUUAUUAAAAUUAUCAGUCAGUUCAA